rnacentral:rRNA from 1 species
AUGAACGCUGGCGGCGUGCCUAAUCCCUGCAAGUCGCGCGAACAGACGAGGAGCUUGCUCCUCUGACGUUAGCGGCGGACGGGUGAGUAACACGUGGAUAACCUACCUAUAAGACUGGGAUAACUUCGGGAAACCGGAGCUAAUACCGGAUAAUAUAUUGAACCGCAUGGUUCAAUAGUGAAAGACGGUUUUGCUGUCACUUAUAGAUGGAUCCGCGCCGCAUUAGCUAGUUGGUAAGGUAACGGCUUACCAAGGCGACGAUGCGUAGCCGACCUGAGAGGGUGAUCGGCCACACUGGAACUGAGACACGGUCCAGACUCCUACGGGAGGCAGCAGUAGGGAAUCUUCCGCAAUGGGCGAAAGCCUGACGGAGCAACGCCGCGUGAGUGAUGAAGGUCUUCGGAUCGUAAAACUCUGUUAUUAGGGAAGAACAAAUGUGUAAGUAACUAUGCACGUCUUGACGGUACCUAAUCAGAAAACCACGGCUAACUACGU